rnacentral:rRNA from 1 species
AGAAAAUAGAUACCCUGGUAGUCCACGCCGUAAACGAUGGAUACUAGCUGUUCGGAGCAAUCUGAGUGGCUAAAGCGAAAAAAGUGAUAAGUAUCCCACCUGGGGAGUACGCACGCAAGUGUGAAACUCAAAGGAAUUGACGGGGGCCCGCACAAGCGGUGGAGCAUGUGGUUUAAUUCGAUGAUACGCGAGGAACCUUACCAGGGCUUAAAUGUAGAUUGACAGGACUGGAAACAGUUUUUCUUCGGACAAUUUACAAGGUGCUGCAUGGUUGUCGUCAGCUCGUGCCGUGAGGUGUCAGGUUAAGUCCUAUAACGAGCGCAACCCCUGUCGUUAGUUGCCAGCGAGUCAUGUCGGGAACUCUAACGAGACUGCCAGUGUAAACUGUGAGGAAGGUGGGGAUGACGUCAAAUCAUCACGGCCCUUACGUCCUGGGCCACACACGUGCUACAAUGGUAGGUACAGAGAGCAGCCACUGCGCGAGCAGGAGCGAAUCUACAAAA